rnacentral:rRNA from 1 species
AUCAGGAAUCUUGCACAAUGAGCGAAAGCUAGAUGCAGCGACGCCGCGUGGGUGAUGAAGUCUUUCGGGAUGUAAAGCCCUUUUAAACGGGAAGAUGAUGACGGUACCGUUUGAAUAAGCCCCGGCUAACUACGUGCCAGCAGCCGCGGUAAUACGUAGGGGGCGAGCGUUGUCCGGAAUUACUGGGCGUAAAGGGCGCCUAGGCGGUCCUUUAAGUCCGCUGUGAAAGACCGAGGCUCAACCUCGGGAUGUCAGCGGAGACUGGAAGACUGGAGUGUCGGAGAGGAGUGCGGAAUUCCUGGUGUAGCGGUGGAAUGCGUAGAUAUCAGGAGGAACACCGAUGGCGAAGGCAGCACUCUGGCCGAAGACUGACGCUGAAGCGCGAAAGCUGGGGGAGCGAACGG